CCUACGGGUGGCAGCAGUCGAGAAUCUUUCACAAUGGGGGAAACCCUGAUGCUGCGACGCCGCGUGGGGGAAUGAAGGUCUCCGGAUUGUAACCUCUUGUCAUGUGGGAGCAAAUUAAAAAGAUAGUACCACAAGAGGAAGCGACGGCUAACUCCGUGCCAGCAGUCGCGGUAAUACAGAGGGCUCAAGCGUUGUUCGGAAUCACUGGGCGUAAAGGGUGCGUAGGCUGUUUCGUAAGUCGUGUGUGAAAGGCGCGGGCUCAACCCGCGGACGGCACAUGAUACUGCGAGACUAGAGUGAGGGAGGGGGAAGCGGAAUGCUCGGUGUAGCAGUGAAAUGCGUAGAUAUCGAGAGGAACACUCGUGGCGAAGGCGGGUUCCUGGACAUUAACUGACGCUGAGGCACGAAGGCCAGGGGAGCGAAAAGGAUUAGAUACCCCAGUAGUC
rnacentral:rRNA from 1 species